ACGUGAUUCUCUAAUGAACUCAUUUAAAAAAAAAUCAAACGUUCUUGAUUUUUAUGGUUUAUACUUUUGAGAUUUUAAUUUUUAUGGUUUUUUGAGGAUUUUUAUUUUAUAUUUCACGUUUUUUGAAUGUUGUUUGUACAUGUUUUUCUGAUAUAGAAAAUAUAUUUACUAUAUAAGAGUACUUUUAAGCAAAAAAAUUAUUUCUAUAAAAAUUAUUUUUAACAGAUAUUUUAUACCUUGAAUAUGAUGAUGAUGACUUUUAAACAAUUUUUGUGAGAGAACCCUAAACAGAAGUAGGAACUACGAUGGGGUAGGAUUGCAAAUUAGCAAUAAACUGUUACCGUUCUAGCAAAGGGCGCCUUUUAAAGAAAUCUAUUUUAGGGAGAAAGAAUCAAAAUUCAAAACUAUACUAUUUAUCCGUUUAAGUAUUGAGAAAAAAAAUAGAGAUGCUAAAGUGCCCGAAUAAUCGAUCAGAUUCUAAUCAUUCGAAACAAAUUACGUAAUUACACAAAUCGGACAUUGUUGUGAACUAGAUGAACAGUGGUGCUAUGAGACUUGUUUGCAGGUCUGAAACAUAAGUGAACUUAAUCGAUUGUCAAUUACUAGAGCAUCAAUGGCAUCUUUUGAACCAAUCAUUCGCAUGGAUGAAAAUGCAUUUAUUCCUCGGGAGAAGAUGCAACCGCCUAAAAUGGGCAGGAAAGCUCUUACUGAUAUGACUAAUUCUAAGAGGCCGCUUGCAAAGGACAGGUCAUCAGUGAAGAACCUCAAUAGUCUAAAGGCACCGGAAAAGGUUUUGCAGCCUAAAAUUAGCAGGAAACCUCUUGGUGAUUUAACAAACUCAAAGCAGCCAUGUGUAAACGAAAAUUCAUCCAAGAAAAACUGUAUUGAGAACGUUUCUUAAGACACACCUAAAAUUCAACAUAAACUUUCUUAAGACACACCUAGGACUAAUUUAGACUUAGUCUCCUAAUUAAUUGUAUCCAGUUCAAUACAGGAAUGAUUUGACGCCAGAAGGUAGACUGUAUUUCUUUCUUAGCCAAAAAUCUCUUAUAUAGUGUCUGGGAACAAGUAUUUCAUUUCAAAUUAUGGAUUUUAAUAAUGAAAUCAUAAAUGAAGAAUUUGCGAAUGACAAAGUUUGGGUAGUCAUUUUCAAAUUUUCAACUUUAACUUCUUUAAAAAUAAUGGUGAAUUUUGAUCCAAAUUCAAAUUUGAAAAUUUUUAAUUUGGCAAAAAAUAAAUUUAAGUCAAUUUCAAUGAAAUUAUCGUUUCCAAAUAUAGACAUUAAAUAACUUUUCACUAAAAAAAUGCCUAAAAACGUUCAAAAGAUUGUGGUAAAAAAGCUACUCACUCAAAU